AUACCAGACUCCUACGGGAGGCAGCAGUGGGGAAUAUUGCACAAUGGGGGAAACCCUGAUGCAGCGACGCCGCGUGAGUGAAGAAGUAUUUCGGUAUGUAAAGCUCUAUCAGCAGGGAAGAAAAUGACGGUACCUGACUAAGAAGCCCCGGCUAACUACGUGCCAGCAGCCGCGGUAAUACGUAGGGGGCAAGCGUUAUCCGGAUUUACUGGGUGUAAAGGGAGCGUAGGUGGCAUGGUAAGCCAGAAGUGAAAACCCGGGGCUCAACUCCGAGGAUUGCUUUUGGAACUAUCAAGCUGGAGUGCUGGAGGGGUAAGCGGAAUUCCUAGUGUAGCGGUGAAAUGCGUAGAUAUUAGGAGGAACACCGGUGGCGAAGGCGGCUUACUGGACAGAAACUGACACUGAGGCUCGAAAGCGUGGGGAGCAAACAGGAUUAGAUACCCCAGUAUAG
rnacentral:rRNA from 1 species